ensembl:lncRNA
GAUCCUCUCAACAGUCCUGUAAGGCAGGUAUAACAAGAAUUAGAAUUAACUUCAUUUUAUAUGUGAGGACGCUGAGGAAGCUACAUGACUUGCUCAUGGUCAUCCUGCAAGUGGGGUUCAGCCAGAUCUUGAACCCCAAGUUGCUGACCCCAGGUCUGUCUCUGUGUUAUUAGCAUCAGGGCUGGGGUCGGGUCUGAGAACGUGCAUUCCAGGUGAUACUGAUGCUGCUGAACGAGAGAACACAUUUUGAGAACCAGUUGUCUACAGGAUAUGAAACAACAGAAAAGUCAACUGCAUUGGCCAGCUAAUUGCUACAUUUCAUCCAUUUUAUUUCAAUCUGGGAAAAUGGGUGACCUUCAAACAACGAGGCCAUGACGCUGCAGAAAAAUCCUCCAGAGUCACCAUCCCUCUGGGGGACAACUGUGAAGCUUGUUCAAAUGACUCCUCAGAGGGGCCCUAGUGAGACUGAGCCCCAG